UCGUCUGCUACUAACGAUUUUCAUUCGUAAAAUUCAAAUAAAACUGUAUGAUCGUCUGCUGCUAAGGAUUUUCGUUCUUUAAAAAUCGAUGAAAAUCAUUAACAGUAAAUGGUUUCGGCAAAAGUACAUUUUGGAUGACGAUUUUCGUUGGUUUUCCAUGUGCGAAAUUCAUUCAAUGAUAGCCUAAUGAUUUUCGUCGAUUUUCAUUUACGAAAAUCCGGAGAUGUGUAAAGCUCUUUGGUGAAGUGUACGAGGUUCUAGAAUCAUAACUGAUUCUAUAAUAAAGAAGUGAUUCGAGAACAUACAUUAGAAAACGUACCAAAGGCCGACGAUUUUCAUCAAGUGCAAUUUAUCUAAGCCUUUUUUCACAAACAGGGAGUAUAAGAACAAAAUUAUUCGGGUAAUAGUAAACGGAAGAUGUUUCAAUUAAUGCAAAACGUUAAGCGACUUUUAGUUUAAACAAGUAUUACACAGCAGCGGUAACCUACUUUAAUGUAAGUAUUUCAGUAGGAAAUUUCCUACUGAUUGAUUAAGUAGGUCGGAAAUCUACUAAAUUUGCAAUUUUCUUACUUAAAACGAGUUUUCCAAGUCACUUACUGUAAAUUGCAAAUACUUAUAUGUGGUUAUGCUACUUACACUUACCAUCCCACUUAUAAAUAAGAUGGUAAAUGGCAUUUUAAGUAUGAAACAUUCGAAAUAAGUAUGUUUUAAUUUAAGUAUCUUUAUUCAAGUUUUGCGAAACAUACUUUAUCCAUUUUUAAUACUUACAUUUAAAAGCUGUAUCAAAAUUAAGUAUCGUUUUCCCAAAUUUAAGUACUUUUUAUACCAUUUAAGUUCUUUAGAUAAGUACCUUGCACAGUGAAGCAGGUUGACUAAAUCAAAGUCGUUAAAAUUGCAAGUAUCUUGUAACUCUGACGAAUUUUAAUGAUCAAACACUACUCAUGAACUGUCAAUUGAAAAUCCAAAAACUUUUUUUGAACACAUCAAAUUCCAUCACAGGAAUACCGGGAAGUUUAUAAUGUUGCACUGUUAAAAAAGGUAAUGAUUUUCGGUAGAUAAUUGAACAUUAUUCUUUCUAUCUUUUUCUAUUUCAACUAAGAAAACGAUAUUUAAUUUAAUCAAAUUAAUAUUAGUAUAAAUUUAUUCAAAUUAUAACUAUGAACUUCAAAAAUUUUAUCAAUCGGUGGUGUUUGAUUACAGAAUUUUAGCACGUAAAAUCAAAUGAUACCAUUUCUUAAAAAUUUUUCUUAAAAUUUUUCUAUCACCCAACAGACCUUUAUAGUAUAUGAUGCUAUGUUUGCAUCAUGUAUAUCAUCGAGUGUAGCUCAGUGGUAAAGCAUUGGAAUACGACUUAGAAAGUCUGAUGUUCGAAUCCCGCGAUAUGCGAUAUAUUUUUUUCAUUUCUGAACCCCAUUUAUGGAUAUAGCCUAUCUUUAUAACCACAACAAAUUUCGAUAUGAUAGAAGUCAUUUGCUGAAUUUUUUACUAAAGAUUAUAUAAUUGCCCUAUAGAAAAAAAAGUAUGCGAAUGAAUUUUAAGUAGGCUAGACCCUUUAUUGAGCCUACUUAACUACUUACAACAUUCUUACAUGAAACAGGUUUUUUUAGUAGGAAAUCUCGUGUAAGUAUGGGCGGAAUUUAAGUAUCCAAAGCCAUGUAAGUGACCCUGGCACCUCUUAAGUAGGAAACAAUAAGUAGGGAGCCGCUGCUGUGUAUUUGUCAGUAAAAGAAAGUAAUGAUUGGCUGCAUGGAAUGAGUUUCGACUGCGAUACGGGAGAAUCGGGUUCGAGAUCCGUAAAAUAUGGUCUUAUUCUAAUUAAAAAUUAGCCUCAAAUAAAUGUACGACAAUCGUUGGGAAAAGACCCAACGAUUAUUAUAAGCUGAAAUGUAAAGCCGGUUUUCGUCGUCAAAAAACGUACGUCUCUUUUCCACCGCUUUCAGACCAUUUCUGCGUACGAAAACCACAAACAAAAUCUAUCAGUGUAGAUUAUCCACAAGAAUGGCUACAGUUGCCCACAGACUAUUGGAAUCUUUUAAGCGAAUAUCGCUUAGCAAGAGAUUUUGCCAAAAAACUUGAGGUGACCAAUGACUGUGCUGUGAGGGGAGUCAAAUUCAUCGGAGACUUAAAAGACUUCAUCCAUCAUUUGAAGAAAAGCGUCAGUAUCUAUUACAGGUUGUUGAGGAACAUGCAAUGCAUCAUCCAUCGUUGAUUAAAUCAAAUUUGAGUGUCAUAGAUAACGAUUAAUAUAAAAUUGAAAUACGUUUGUUACAUACCUAGCUUUAGUGUGCACUGUUAUAAAAACCUCACGUUGUUUGAGACGUGUAACCCUCAAAAAUCGGGAACCGAGGGGAAUGAAAUAUAAUCCGCGAAAAUUGAGACGCAAUUCGGGUAUCGAAAAUUGUGCGACAUAACCCUCAAAAGUAUAACCAGAGUUGCCGCGAUCGAUGGAAAUGAUCGAGAUCGAAGGAUCGAUCGAUCAAUUUUCCCUGAUCGAGGCGAUCGAAUUGAUCACAGCAGGUUAUCGAGAUCGAGAUCGAGAUCGAAAGGGUCACAUGAUCGAGAUAUUUCUCGAUCAAGACGAAUUUUGCGCCACCUAGGUUGAUAAUUUUUUUUUUAAUUUGUCUGCUUUUUCAGACGACGUGAAUUUAUGCAACUUCACGUGUUGCAGACUUGCAGUAACAUUCAUUUAUUCUAGAUUCUAGACAUAGCACAUAGUCAAAUCUUUUAAUACUGCAUAAGUAACGAAUUUAACGAUUGUGAGAUGAGUGUGGACGUGGAGCCUUCAACGUCAAAAGAUGAUAGGCGUAGGCCUACGCCUACCAUUGAUUUAACUGAGAGUCAACCUGCACUUGCAGAAAAGAAGAAAUAUGUAGUAUUUGUCCCACCAGAUUAUUUUGAAAAAGUUAGCAGUACAGAGAAAUCUACGAUUUACAAGUGCUUGAUGGGUUGUUUAAACAAAACCGUUACAGUGAACCACACAACUCUUCAUAAUGUUGGCAGACAUGUUGAGUCUUUCCACAAAUUAAGAUUGCCCGACUUAAAUUCAAAAAUUGAAGAACACAAAACUCAGUUUGUUAAAUAAACGUCGCGAUUCAGGGAAAGAUGUGUUUGGUGCUCAGACAGUAAUUGACAAACAUUUGGUUAACACAAAAGAGCCACCGACCUCUAAGCCCAUUGUUACUCAAGCCGACUUGGACGACAAAAUCAUGGAUUUUAUUGUAAGCGACAUGAAUGCUUUAAGGAUAGUUGAGAAAGAAGGUUUUCUCUGGCUCAUGGGAGGCCUUGUUGGAAAGUUAAAAGUAAAAAAGAGAACGUUCUUUACCGAAAAACUGAAGCGAAACUUUUCAAAUUCGAAAACUGCACUCUGCUUGGCCCUGGAAAACGUAACUGAUGUGUGUACCACCGCUGACAUGUGGACAGCUCAUCGUAGGAGCUACUUAGGGAUGACAGUCCACUGGAAAGGGGACGAUUUAAAGAGACGCAGUGCUUGCCUAGCGAUUCGCCGAGUAAAAGACAGACACACGUUCGACGUGAUUGCAAAAUAUUCGGAGGGAAUGAACUGACUGAGGAUCAAGACGAUUUGCAAAAUUAUGACGACGAAGAUUGUGAGAAUGACGAUGACGUUGUCUACAUAGACUUAGAUCAAAUCUUUCAAGAACAUGCACAAGAACAAAUAUUAGUGGACAAUGAAGAUGCAGAUUCUGAAACGGAAAAUGAAUGCCGAGAACGAAUCAAAUUGCCUUAUCACGUUAAGUGUCCAUGUCAUCUCCUGAAUCUAAUAGCAACUACAGAUAUUUCUAAAAUAACGAAUGUGACCUUCAACAAACUGAAAAAACAAGUUGAUUGAAAAUUGCAGAAAAUUUUGAGUAAGCAAUCUCGAAGUUCCUUGGCCUCUGAUACCAUCAAAGAAAAACUAGGCUCGCUUUUCAUCUUGUACAAUCAAACUAGAUGGAAUGCUUUCUAUGACGCCAUGAACUGUGUACGCAAAUUUUCUAACACGAAAAGUACGGAGCUAGGAGAAACAUUUCGUUACUUUGGAUUGAUUCCCUUAACGCAGUCAGAAAAGGAAUUUAUUGGAGAAUACGUUCGUAUAAUGGAACCGUUUACUCAAGCACUCGAUGUUCUGCAAAAUGAAGAAAAUAUGAGUAUAGGAUGUGUUAUACCCACAAAGCUGCUACUUGUGGAAAAAAUGGAAGAGUUUUUAAUUGAUCCCACUAUUCAUCACUGUGGUCCCCUUGUUUUUGCCGUUCUUGGCGGAUUACACGCCAGAUUUAAUCACUUAAUGAACGAGCAUCAUUUAAUAAUGGCAAGUAUCUCUGACCCAAUGUUUAAAAUGGUAUGGGCUGAAGACGAUUCCAAAGCUGCGUAUACUUUAUUACUCAAAGGAGCAGUUCGACGUGUGAAGACUAGUCACUGCAGUCAGCCUACAUCUUCUACAAUUAACAUCCAAAACAAUGAAUCACCAAAAAAAAAGCGCUUCCUUGAUGGAUACAAUCGGAGGCCGUCAACUGAAAUCGACGAAGUCGAGAAAUAUCUUACAGAGGAUUCACAGGACAUCUCUUUGUUAGAUCGUUUUCCCAACAUCAGGAUGAUUUACAAAGAAUACAACAGUGGCCUGCCGUCUUCAGCUGCCUGCGAAAGAUUGUUCAGCACAGCAGGACUCAUUUUCACAGCAAAAAGAUGUAAUCUCUCUGAUUUAAAUUUUAAAAUGUUGGUUUUCUUAAAGCUGAAUGGGGCUUGUUGCCGUGAAUGGGGCAAUCAACCGUCAAAAACAUCUGGAAACAACAGAAAAUAACAAUGUUUCACUUUGUGUAUUUGGUUUACUCUUUCAUAUAAAAAUACAAGAGGAAAAAUUCAGACGAUCGAUUUGAUCGACGUCGAUCAUCAA
rnacentral:misc_RNA from 1 species